rnacentral:rRNA from 1 species
AUAACGACUCUCGGCAACGGAUAUCUCGGCUCUCGCAUCGAUGCAGAAUCCCGUGAACCAUCGAGUCUUUGAACGCAAGUUGCGCCCGAAAACCUCUGGUCGAGGGCACGUUUGCCUGGGUGUCACA